UCAUUUCAGAAACACAUUUUAUAAGAUUUCCUGCCUGGAGAUUCAUACAGCAGAGUAGCAUAUUAAAGUCUCUGAAACAUCUUGCAGUAAAGAAACCUAUUUAACUUUUUUAAACUCAGUAUAUUCCAGACCCACCUAACCAGAUACUCACAGAAUUCUGGCAGAAGAUGCUUUAGCAACCUUGUGCUGUAGACCACAUGAUCCCAGCAAGGUUUCCCAUUAGGGACACAAUUGAAGUUCUGCCCCUCGGGUGGCAGCCUCCAGAAAUAAAUUGAGAGAUGAAUAUAUUAGAAGCAAAAACAACUGCAAAGGCCCAGCAAUCAAUUAAAAGGGCCUGAACUGGGUGAGAAGCUGUAACAAAGUGCCACAGGCUGAGCGGCCUAAGCAACAGAAAUGUACUUUCCUGCGGUUCUGGAGGCCAGAAGUACAAGGCCAAGGUGUGGAGGGUGAGGCUGGCAGCAUAUAAGCU
ensembl:lncRNA novel transcript